GCCGGAGUAGCUCAGUGGCAGAGCUUUCGAUUCGUAAUCGAAGGGUCGGGGGUUCGAAUCCCCCCUCCGGCUCCG
rnacentral:tRNA from 1 species